rnacentral:rRNA from 1 species
AUUGAACGCUGGCGGCAGGCCUAACACAUGCAAGUCGGACGGUAGCACAGAGGAGCUUGCUCUUCGGGUGACGAGUGGCGGACGGGUGAGUAAUGUCUGGGGAUCUGCCCGAUAGAGGGGGAUAACCACUGGAAACGGUGGCUAAUACCGCAUAACGUCGCAAGACCAAAGAGGGGGACCUUCGGGCCUCUCACUAUCGGAUGAACCCAGAUGGGAUUAGCUAGUAGGCGGGGUAACGGCCCACCUAGGCGACGAUCCCUAGCUGGUCUGAGAGGAUGAACAGCCACAGUGGAACUGAGACACGGGCCAGACUCCUACGGGAGGCAGCAGUGGGGAAUAUUGCACAAAGGGCGCAAGCCUGAUGCAGCCAUGCCGCGUGUAUGAAGAAGGCCUUCGGGUUGUAAAGUACUUUCAGCGGGGAGGAAGGCGAUGUGGUUAAUAACCGCGUCGAUUGACGUUACCCGCAGAAGAAGCACCGGCUAACUCCGUGCCAGCAGCCGCCGUAA